rnacentral:rRNA from 1 species
AUACGUAGGUGGCGAGCGUUGUCCGGAAUUACUGGGCGUAAAGCGCUCGUAGGUGGCUUUGUAAGUCAGGUGUGAAAUCCCGGGGCUCAACCUCGGAACUGCCUUUGAUACUGGGUGUCUAGAGUGUGGAAGAGGUAAGUGGAAUUCCGAGUGUAGAGGUGAAAUUCGUAGAUAUUCGGAGGAACACCAGUGGCGAAGGCGGCUUACUGGUCCAUUACUGACGCUGAGGUGCGAAAGCGUGGGGAGC